rnacentral:rRNA from 1 species
AAAUAACAAUACAGGGCAAUUGUCUUGUAAUUGGAAUGAUGGUGACCUAAACCCUCACCAGAGUAACAAUUGGAGGGCAAGUCUGGUGCCAGCAGCCGCGGUAAUUCCAGCUCCAAUAGCGUAUAUUAAACUUGUUGCAGUUAAAAAGCUCGUAGUUGAAUUUUUGCGUGGUGUUAAUAUUGACUAAUGUCGAGAUUGCACUUCGCUUUUGGGAUUUAUCCCUUUUUACUUUGAGAAAAUUAGAGUGUUUCAAGCAGACUUUUGUCUUGAAUACUUCAGCAUGGAAUAAUAGAGUAGGACUUUGGUUCUAUUUUGUUGGUUUGUGAACCUUAGUAAUGGUUAAUAGGAACGGUUGGGGGCAUUCGUAUUUA